GUCUGUAUUCUAAGUUCACAGUGUCAUAAUUGGUGAAAGGUCCUCUUUAAGUGGUCAUGCAGGUGAUACCAUGCCAACCAAAUUGUAAAGGUUAAUGGACAUAGUGUAUGGAUAGCAUAUCCAAAACAUCAAACAUAUUGAUGUGCCACAUAUAUCCAACAUAUAAAUAAUCACAACCGGCACACCUAUCUAAAAAUAAUGGGGAACCAACCUUGGAGCCUUGGUGAGUGCAUCCUGACGCGCGUUUCGCUCAGCUUUUUCAAAGGGGCGUGUCUAUCCUGCCAACAUACUCAUCUUAAAUAGAGCCGCAGCUGAGAGAAUCAACCAAUCAUCUGACACCAUAUGCCUCUCUACGUCACAUCCUACGUCACAACUACGUCACAUACGCCCAUGCUGAAAACUGGAAGUAGGAUCCAUAACGUCACCUCCGCCCGCAUCAUACCAUCUACUGCUCUGUCAGCCCAGGUACGUCACAUCCGGCCAUACUAGAAUCAGGAAGCAGCUUCGCAACGUCACCUCCGCCCUCCCCACAAUCUAGAGACGUCCACACACAUUGGUACCCAGAUGGCCAGUUGCAUCCACCCGGAAGAUCACGUCCAGAAAUUCAACAUUUGUGCGAGCCACCUUGAAGCAUGAGUGUGCCCCAGUGCACAAAGCAAGGUGGAUAAAUGCCCCAAUGCACAAAGCAAAGUCGAUAAAGGAAUGAUGUGCGAGUUUGGUGUGGAAGAACCUGACUGGCCCGCAAAGAGACCUUGCUUUAAACCCAUCCAACACCUUUGGGAUAAACCAGAAUUGAGAUUUUCAAGCCUGGACUUCUCGCAUAACAUUAGUACCAGACUUAACAAAUGAUCUUUUGCUGGAUGAAUGGGCAAAAUUCUCACAGAUGCACUCCAAAAACGUGUAGAAAGCCUUCUCAAAAGAGUGGAAGCUGUUCUUGCUGCAAAGGGGAAGGGGGCAACUAUCUUAAUGCCUAUGGCGACGUUUCAGCUCCCACCAUGGACAUGAACAAAUAAACGUAUGUUUUUCUGCAUAAA